GACGAACGCUGGCGGCGUGCUUAACACAUGCAAGUCGAACGGAAAGGCCCUGCUUUUGUUGGGUUCUCGAGUGGCGAACGCGUGAGUAACACGUGUGUAUCCUCCCCUUUCUUUUCGUUUACCUUCAGUAACCUUGGCUUAUUCCCGUAUCGCAUCUCCUCCUCCUUGUUGGGGUUUGGAUCUUUUCGGCGUUUGGGUUUGUAUUCGCGGCUUACCCGCUUGUUGGUGGGGUAGUGGCUUACCAAGCCUUUGACGGGUACCAGGCCUGAGAGGUUGACCGGCCACAUUGGGACUGAGAUACGGCCCAGAGUCCUACGGGAGGCAGCAGUGGGGAAUAUUGCACAAUGGGCGGAAGCGUGAUGCAGAAACGCGGCGUGCGGGAUGACGGCCUUCGGGUUGUAAACAGCAUUAGCAUGUGACGAAGCGUGAGUGACGGUAAUGGGUAAAGAAGCACCGGCUAACUACGUG
rnacentral:rRNA from 1 species